ensembl:lncRNA
CUUUCAAACAUGUUCAAAGAGCGGUUUAACUGUGCCGUGCAGCGAGGGAUAUGCAGUCCCAGAGUGCAUUGUGUGGAGGCUGGCUCUUACUCCCAGCCAGCAUACCGUGGUAACCCACUUUAGACGCUUCUCUGAUGGUGAGAGUCACUCUUCUCAAUGUAUUCACACCGAAUGAACUCUCUCCUUCCACAGUUUCAGACACACGAAUGAAGACCACCGGUGACUCGGGAAUGUGUCUGAUCUUUCCGGACACGACAGCGCUCACGCCGUUUGGCUGAAUAAUGCAUUGCUCACACUUGAGUGAAGUGGAGCUUCAGCGAGACGAGAAUGCAAGUCCUCACUUGACGUGUGCUGAACGCUCAUUUCCAGCUUUGUCGGUGCAGGAGGUUUAGUGAUGAACAAGUAGAAGACCCUCACCUUUGGUUCUGAGGCUGACAGGCUGACCUUUGACCUUCUGCAACUGUGAAGCAGAGAGAAAGAGGGUUGCCAUCUGUUUCCAUACCAACCAGAGCUGCCUUCUUAGUAGCUCUGUUCCAGUGCCUAGUGAGUCGCCUAUGCAAACAGCAUUUAAAGGUGUACACCAGUCUGUGCUGCAAGCUCUCACCGGCCGCCGUUCCCUGUGUUGAUGAGCGUCCAUCAUGUUAACAACAGCAUUUAACGUCUCAUUGGACAAAGCAGGAGGAUGGAGCUCCUUUCAUCACGAUGGUCGCACAGAUUUUGGAGCUGAAAGAAGAGGUUGAUUUACUACCUUUGGUGGACUGUGGAAGACAGUCAAAGCACCCAUUCACUGCAGAGAGAAUUCAUUGAUGAGCAAGUGAUGUAAUGCUGAAUUUUUCCAAAUCUAUUCUGAUGAAGAAACAAACUCAUCUACAUCUUGAAUGGCCUGAGGAUGCUGAAGGAGAAGGACGAUGAUGCUUGGGAUGGGGGUGUUUCAGAUGGAUCUGGCCUUCCUAAUGCAUCAGUCUGCAUAGAUGUCUGUGAUGUUGCUAGCUCGUGGCCCGUGAUGGACUGUGCUGUCUUCACCAUCCUCUGUAGCCAUGCAGCCAGUGAGAAUACUCUGAAUGCAGCAUCUGUAGAUUGUCAGAAUUAGCGCUGACAUGCCAGACAUCAUGAGCUCAUGGGGAAAAGCAGCCUCCGCUGUGCUUUCUUGACCACAGUGCUAAAAUGGAGAUGCAGUUGCAUGCCGUUCUGCCAUCUUGAUGUGUCUGCGCACCUCCUCUACUGAAGAGACUGUCCGCAGGAAGUCAGACGCGUCUCAAAUUGUCUGGCCACAUGAAGUCAAGAUGAACCAGGAUUUACAAUCCUUUUUAUUUCCACACUGUGACAUGUUUCUGAGUGAAACACAAUAUUCAACAAGAACACAGUUUGGGAUAUGUUGACACAGUCUUACCACAAGAAGGAAGUCAUUUGAAACAUCAUGAGGAAGAGUGGUCCCCGAUGAAACCAUGGUAGUACAUCCUCUGCUGCAUCCGAGCAUGAGAUAUGAUGUGACAGAUGCCUGGUCACUGCUGGAAUUUGUGCUUGGCCAGACAAACAUGAGUCAAGCAAUUACUGUCACUUUGGAGGAUGAAUUAAACACAGAAGCAUAUGCACGUCGAAGGAGGAAAAUGGCUCCGUAGCUCCACAUUAGGAUGUGAUGGAGGAUACAGGGGUCACUCCGCAGAAGCUCCCUAUAGAUCCAUCAGUCCUGGACUCAUCGAUCAGCAGACGAUGGGAUGAGCUGAUCAGAGCUCGGGCCUUCAACACCAGCGCAAUCUGCAUGAGAUGACAAAACACACACAAUCUUCCUAAAGCAAGCUUCCAGAAAAUAUCCUCCCUGCUAUGCGUAAUCCGUGUUUCCAUAGCUAGCCUGUGCAUUUAUUUCUGUCCUGUCCUUUUUGAUUUGAGCGUGGAUUUACGAUCAAAGAGAUAAAUGACAAGCAAACGUGUAGUGUAAAAUUCAGAGCCUUUGCAGACUCUUGGAUGUGAUUUUGGAAAGAGAUGAGAGGAAAAGCAGUCUGUGUGUGUGGCAGCCGGUCCCAGAACAGUGUCCGUAAUCUCCGGUGAAUGUUCAGCUGUGUGUGCAUUUCUACUUUGUCUUUAGAAAAAAAACAUUUGAUAGGAUAACAAUGCAGUUUUCCUCUGAAACCUCCAAAGUACACAGCACCAAUCCUAUGGAUAGUUUUGGAUAUAUAAUAAGCGUUUUGUGUUCUCAAUCUGUCACAAAUCUAAUUUCUCUUUCAGCUAUUUUUUUUUUCCACAUCUCUUGACUGUUCCUUUCCCUCUUUUAUUCAAUUUAACUCAAAGCUGUAUUUAGAUUAAACAGGACAGGAGUGUCUGCUAAAUGUAGAUUGAGCCAUGGAUAUCAUGAACAAAAUACUAACUGAGAAUACAGGUACAUCCAUUAAAGGAAG